AAGACUAUAGACCUGCGGAGUACCUGCGGAAGGAUCAUUACCGAGUUUACAACUCCCAAACCCAAUGUGAACGUUACCAAACUGUUGCCUCGGCGGGAUCUCUGCCCCGGGUGCGUCGCAGCCCCGGACCAAGGCGCCCGCCGGAGGACCAACCUAAAACUCUUUUGUAUACCCCCUCGCGGGUUUUUUAUAUCUGAGCCAUCUCGGCGCCUCUCGUAGGCGUUUCGAAAAUGAAUCAAA
rnacentral:misc_RNA from 1 species